UACGUAGGGUGCGAGCGUUGCCCGGAUUUAUUGGGCGUAAAGGGCGCGUAGGCGGCCACGCACGUCGGUUGUGAAAUCGCCCGGCUCAACUGGGCGGGGUCGGCGGAUACGGCGUGGCUGGAGCAAGCUAGGGGGCAAUGGAAUUCCCGGUGUAGUGGUGGAAUGCGUAGAUAUCGGGAGGAACACCAGUGGCGAAGGCGGUUGCCUGGAGCUUUGCUGACGCUGAGGCGCGAAAGCGUGGGGAGCGAUCCGG
rnacentral:rRNA from 1 species